GAUGAACGCUGGCGGCGUGCCUAAUACAUGCAAGUCGAGCGAACAGAUAAGGAGCUUGCUCCUUUGACGUUAGCGGCGGACGGGUGAGUAACACGUGGGUAACCUACCUAUAAGACUGGGAUAACUUCGGGAAACCGGAGCUAAUACCGGAUAACAUUUGGAACCGCAUGGUUCUAAAGUGAAAGAUGGUUUUGCUAUCACUUAUAGAUGGACCCGCGCCGUAUUAGCUAGUUGGUAAGGUAACGGCUUACCAAGGCAACGAUACGUAGCCGACCUGAGAGGGUGAUCGGCCACACUGGAACUGAGACACGGUCCAGACUCCUACGGGAGGCAGCAGUAGGGAAUCUUCCGCAAUGGGCGAAAGCCUGACGGAGCAACGCCGCGUGAGUGAUGAAGGGUUUCGGCUCGUAAAACUCUGUUAUUAGGGAAGAACAAGUGUGUAAGUAACUGUGCACGUCUUGACGGUACCUAAUCAGAAAGCCACGGCUAACUACGUG
rnacentral:rRNA from 1 species